AGGAAUUGAAUUAUGACUUUAUUCUCUAAAUUAACUUGAUACAUAGAAUAGGAUUGUUAUGGUGAAGUUGGAGACCUAGUAUUCAUCCAUCUAUUUUCAAAACCAAUUUUCAGUUUUUAUUCUUUUUUCUUUUUUUAUCAAUUCCGUACAAAUCCAAAACAAAUACUUUAGUUUCCUACCUUUAAAUUCCUGUCACUUGGUUAGGUUAAUAUUCAUUGAUAUUAAUUUUUUUUGGUCUAGUUUGGUAUCUUUGUUUUGUUUUUCAUAAGGUAUUCAUAUGUUGAACUAAUUAAUAAACUUUGCAAAUCCCCAUGGGUACGAUACUCGUCUUGCCAUUGUACUAUCUUAACCGAUUCGUAUACUUGUGAGAUAUAAAAAUUGUUCAUCAACAACAAGUGAAGAGGGUGGUGCUAGCAUCCUCACUUAAUGUGAUAGAUUGAAGGGGUUAGGGAGAGAGAGCUUGAUGUUUUCUCUCUUCCAAUUUCACCAACUUGAAAACCCCAAGGAUGAUAGAAUUCCAUAGCUACACACUUAGCCAUUCUCCAACCCAUAAGGGGCUAAACCCAAAUUUUCCACCUCCAACCCAAAUUUUCCACCUCCAACAAGUGACUAUUUGGGUUUUGCCCGGACUCAAAUUGUUUUUUCUCCCAACCCUCCGGACUUAAAUUUUAAGUCUGCAACUUUAUUAAAUUGUUUAAGAUUGGUUUAAGUCUUUUUUUUUUUUUUGUGGAAAACUUUUCUUCAUUAAUCUUUUUAAAUAGCAUCAUAAUUUAAUUUUUUGAACAAUUUGACCUAAAAAAAAAUUGAGAUUCCAUAAAUUUAAUUUUAUUCCAAAAGUAUGAGAAUGAAGAAGAUGAUGUGCUUGAAAUGAUCUCAAA
rnacentral:lncRNA from 1 species